AUUGAACGCUGGCGGCAUGCCUUACACAUGCAAGUCGAACGGUAACGCGGGGCAACCUGGCGACGAGUGGCGAACGGGUGAGUAAUACAUCGGAACGUGCCCAGUAGUGGGGGAUAGCCCGGCGAAAGCCGGAUUAAUACCGCAUACGACCUAAGGGUGAAAGCGGGGGAUCGCAAGACCUCGCGCUAUUGGAGCGGCCGAUGUCAGAUUAGCUAGUUGGUGGGGUAAAAGCCCACCAAGGCGACGAUCUGUAGCUGGUCUGAGAGGACGACCAGCCACACUGGGACUCAGACACGGCCCAGACUCCUACGGGAGGCAGCAGUGGGGAAUUUUGGACAAUGGGGGCAACCCUGAUCCAGCCAUGCCGCGUGCGGGAAGAAGGCCUUCGGGUUGUAAACCGCUUUUGUCAGGGAAGAAACGGUCUGCGCUAAUACCGCGGACUAAUGACGGUACCUGAAGAAUAAGCACCGGCUAACUACGUGCCAGCAGCCGCCGCCGUAA
rnacentral:rRNA from 1 species